UGCAGUAGUGGAUGCAGAGCCGGGGAAGUAGUGGUGCAUCCUGGACUCAACAGUGUUCAAUGGACAAGGAAGCUGAAGCUCCUCAGAUAACAAUGAGAGUCACGUGCAGGGUCUUCUGCUCCAAGCCCUCCUUUCAAUGCCGCACAGAACAAUGAAGAUUUGAGGGACGACUCGUGGAAGAACUAAAGCCAGAGUCUGUGAUGCACUCUUCAAAC
rnacentral:lncRNA from 1 species